rnacentral:rRNA from 1 species
GACGAGCCACACGAACGUUAUUCGGAAUUACUGGGCUUAAAGGGUGCGUAGGCGGCGCAGAAAGUAGGGUGUGAAAGCCCUCGGCUUAACCGAGGAAUUGCGCUCUAAACUACUGUGCUUGAGGGACCUAGAGGUGAGCGGAACUGAUGGUGGAGCGGUGAAAUGCGUUGAUAUCAUCAGGAACACCGGAGGCGAAGGCGGCUCACUGGGGGUCUUCUGACGCUGAGGAACGAAAGCCAGGGGAGCGAACGGG